rnacentral:rRNA from 1 species
GAUGAACGCUGGCGGCGUGCCUAAUACAUGCAAGUCGAGCGAACGGACGAGAAGCUUGCUUCUCUGAUGUUAGCGGCGGACGGGUGAGUAACACGUGGAUAACCUACCCAUAAGACUGGGAUAACUUCGGGAAACCGGAGCUAAUACCGGAUAAUAUUUUGAACCGCAUGGUUCAAAAGUGAAAGACGGUCUUGCUGUCACUUAUAGAUGGAUCCGCGCUGCAUUAGCUAGUUGGUAAGGUAACGGCUUACCAAGGCAACGAUGCAUAGCCUACCUGAGAGGGUGAUCGGCCACACUGGAACUGAGACACGGUCCAGACUCCUACGGGAGGCAGCAGUAGGGAAUCUUCCGCAAUGGGCGAAAGCCUGACGGAGCAACGCCGCGUGAGUGAUGAAGGUCUUCGGAUCGUAAAACUCUGUUAUUAGGGAAGAACAUAUGUGUAAGUAACUGUGCACAUCUUGACGGUACCUAAUCAGAAAGCCACGGCUAACUACGUG